GUAGGGGGCUAGCGUUGUCCGGAUUUAUUGGGCGUAAAGCGCGUGUAGGCGGCCAGGUAGGUCCGCUGUGAAAACUCGAGGCUCAACCUCGAGAUGUCGGCGGAAACCAUCUGGCUAGAGUCCGGAAGAGGAGAGUGGAAUUCCCGGUGUAGCGGUGAAAUGCGCAGAUAUCGGGAAGAACACCCGUGGCGAAGGCGGCUCUCUGGGACGGUACUGACGCUGAGACGCGAAAGCGUGGGGAGCGAACAGGAUUAGAUACCCUGGUAGUCCACGCCGUAAACGAUGGGUGCUAGGUGUGGGCGGUGUCGACUCCGUCCGUGCCGAAGCUAACGCAUUAAGCACCCCGCCUGGGGAGUACGGCCGCAAGGCUA
rnacentral:rRNA from 1 species